GACAGAGGUGCCAAGCGCUAGGCGGAAUCACUGGGCUUAAAGCGUGUGUAGGUGGAUUUGUAAGUACCUUGUGAAAUCCCAUGGCUCAACCAUGGAACUGCUCGGUAUACUGCGAAUCUUGAGCCACUUAGGGGCUACCGGAACAAAUGGUGGAGCGGUGAAAUGCGUAGAUAUCAUUUGGAACGCCAAUGGUGAAAACAGGUAGCUGGGAGUGUGCUGACACUGAGACACGAAAGCCAGGGGAGCGAACGGG
rnacentral:rRNA from 1 species